CCUACGGGGGGCAGCAGUGAGGAAUAUUGGUCAAUGGGCGAGAGCCUGAACCAGCCAAGUCGCGUGAGGGAAGACGGUCCUAUGGAUUGUAAACCUCGUUUGCCGGGGAGCAAAAAGCGGUACGUGUACCGCAUCGAGAGUACCCGGAGAAAACGCAUCGGCUAACUCGGUGACAGCAGCCGCGGUAAUACGGAGGAUGCGAGCGUUGUCCGGUUUUAUUGGGUUUAAAGGGAGCGCAGGCGGCGAGUUAAGUCAGCGGUAAAAUUUCGGGGCUCAACCCCGACAAGCCGUUGAUACUGGCUUGCUAGAGUGAGAGAGAGGUAUGCGGAAUGCGUGGUGUAGCGGUGAAAUGCAUAGAUAUCACGAAGAACUCCGAUUGCGAAGGCAGCAUACCGGCGCCCAACUGACGCUGAGGCACGAAAGCGUGGGUAUCGAACAGGAUUAGAUACCCUUGUAGUC
rnacentral:rRNA from 1 species